AAGGCCUGAUGUGUGUGAGAUUACCCGCUGAAUUUAAGCAUAUAAGUAAGCGGAGGAAAAGAA
rnacentral:ncRNA from 1 species